GUCCCAGUAGCUCAGUAGGAUAGAGCGACAGCCUCCUAAGCUGUAGGUCGUAGGUUCGAUUCCUAUCUGGGACGUCA
rnacentral:tRNA from 1 species